AACGAGGCCGACCUGCGGCUGAGUUACCUGCGGAGGGAUCAUUACAGAGUUGCAAAACUCCCUAAACCAUUGUGAACGUUACCUAAACCGUUGCUUCGGCGGGCGGCCCGGGUCCUUCCCGGCGCCCAUCGGCCCUCGCGGGCGCCCGCCGGAGGUAAACCAAACUAUUGCAUUGUAUGGCCUCUCUGAGUCUUCUGUACUGAAUAAGUCAAAACUUUCAGCAAUGGAUCUCAGAUCGGA
rnacentral:misc_RNA from 1 species